rnacentral:lncRNA from 1 species
AAGACCCUCCCCCGAACAUACGCCGAGCUACUGGAGCGCGCAUAUAAGUAUAUGCGCGCGGAUGAAGGGGCAUCCGACCGACGUUUGGCCGAACCCAGAGGCCCGAAGGAGAAGCGGAGGAAAGGUCGGGAACCUGCCGAAGCAAGCAGGCUCCCGACCGAUUGUCGGGUCUCGCCACCCCGACGAAUCCAAAAGUCACCCUGACGAUGGAGUCCGAGACCGACGCAUCGCAGGUAUGACUCCUACGCCCCUCUCCCCGCUCCUCGUGCGCAGAUCCUGAUAGAGAUCGAAGGAGCGGAGAAUCUACGACGGCCUCGGCCUCUGAAAGCAAAAGGCU